UACGUAGGGUCCGCAGCGUUUGUCCGGAUUAUUGGGCGUAAAGAGCUCGUAGGCGGUCUGUGCGUCGGAUGUGAAAACUCGGGGCUCAACCUCCGACUUGCAUCGAUACGGGCAGGCUAGAUGUCGGGCAGGGGAGACUGGAAUUCCUGGUGUAGCGGUGAAAUGCGCAGAUAUCAGGAGGAACACCGGUGGCGAAGGCGGGUCUCUGGGCCGAUGACUGACGCUGAGGAGCGAAAGCGUGGGGAGCGAACAGG
rnacentral:rRNA from 1 species